rnacentral:rRNA from 1 species
ACGGGCGGUAUAGAAUCAUUAUGCCAAGGUCCUUGCCGAAGCGCAGUCCUGAGGCGCCUGAGGAGCUAUGAAAGUAGGCUAUAACACUCCGAAGAGUUACGUUCCAACUUCUUUUUCACUCCCAAACACCCCACCUUGGCCUAGUACUGCUGAGUACACCGUGCCAAAACACRGUUGAACAACAGCACCAAGUCUGAUUCAAUACCCUUCCCUUUUAACAAUUUCACGUACUUUUUCACUCUCUUUUCAAAGUGCUUUUCAUCUUUCCUUCACAGUACUUGUUCGCUAUCGGUCUCUCGUCAAUAUUUAGCUUUAGAAGGAAUUUACCUCCCACUUAGAGCUGCAUUCCCAAACAACUCGACUCUUCGAAAGUAUCUUACAAUGAGAAUAGAUUUUACGGGGCUGUCACCCUCUAAGGCGCUGUGUUCCAACAGACUUUAAUCCGCUCUCAAGAUACAAUCUACAAAUUACAACUCGACCUGGUGGCCGAUUUCAAAUUUGAGCUUUUGCCGCUCACUCGCCGUUACUAAGGCAAUCCCUGUUGGUUUCUUUUCCUCCGCUUUUU